CGGCGGCUAGCGAGCCGGUGACGUAGUUCGAUAUUAGACCAAUGAGAGAAGAAAAGAAAUGGCCCAGCGUAUCAACGCAUGCGCCGAAGAGCUUAGCGUCGCGGGCGUCGUGGCAAUAUAACGAGCAUCCGAUGGUUUGGGCCGCCAUUUUACAUUUUCUGUCCACUUCGGCGUGGCUCUUAUCGGCUGCCUUCUGCGUCGCACCGUACUGCGAGGUCCUGCUGGUCUAAAUUACGCGCUAACCGUGGCAGCGCUUGUCCAAGUUGCACGCUGCGCAUGUUCUCGCCUUCGGCCGUCUCUGGAAGCACUGGCUUCAUGCCCCGGGCCUGCAAAACGUGAGACACGCUUCGAAAGACUUUUUUUCCCCGACCCGCCUCCCGCCUCGGCAAUUCCUGUCCCCUCUUUCGAGCUCCCGGAGUGUAAGUGACGGCCAGCCGGCAUUUACUACGUUACUAUACGCCAACGACACUCCGGUCGAGCCGGCGCAGCGUGUAAGUCGCGAGUCGUUCCUGCCGGGUCCCCGUUCUUUUGCUUGUGCGCGUUCCCACCCCACCGACGGCGCCUGGACUAUCGAACUGUGGACGAACUCUGAGCUGGCCAUUAACCGAGGACCAGCGCGGGAACCCCUCGUCGCGGCUAGCGUCGUCCUCUACGAGCUUCGCAUCGAGCGUCCUAAACGCUCAAAAGGCAUUUCCAUUUCGUUUGUGCAUUUUUCGAGCUGGUCUAGCUGGCGAGGGUGGCGCAAGCCUUAGAGAAGUUAACUGUCCCGUUGCACUAGCUAGCGCUUACUAGGAUGUAUGGCUACAUCACAAGAUAACGUAAGGUUAGUUUUGUUGCUUAGCUGUAAGCCCGAGGUUUCGCGGGCGUGGCUUGCGGCCACACGGGUCUUCUCCGUGCCGGAAUCGAAGAGGGCGGGCCACGUGUUGCGGGUGGCAGUGUAUAGCUUCAGGUUUUAGCUGGCACAGAGGGUUAGCUAACACUACGCAGGCAACAGCUGAUAGCCGUCCUCAUACGACUGCGUCAGGGACAUGGACCCAUCCGUAUGGCCUUGCCACCCGACCCCACUAUUUCGUGACAAGGUAGCCUGCGUGCGGGAGUGCGCGGACUACCUUGCGGGAUCUAGCGAAAUGUGGACUCACGGUAGCAAGCGUCAUUCGGAAACUGCCUCGCCAGCUAUCAUGUACUAACCCGCUCUCCGCAGCACCUCGACGCCGGACGUCGCCUGCUGUGUUCGUCGGAGCCGGGCCGGGCAUCAGCUGCGAGCGUCACUCACACCGCCGCACACCGUGUUCUGUCGUCGGUGCGGUCUUGUGGGCCUGGACUACUACGGGAUCCCGAGGUCCGCUUUCGAGAUUGCGGACCACGAGUAGAAAGGAUAUCCAGUGCGCUGCUCCACGUUUGCCAUCCUCCCAACGUCCCCAACCGGAGAUGGCCUUGAGCACCACUUACCGUGGCUGACCGCGUUGGCCCCUUUGCAUUUCCACGUCCAUGGCGUCCUGCUGGCACGGGGGACUUCGUCUGCUACUACUGCCCACGUGUAAGAUGGAUAUCCAGCGCGCUGCUCCACGUUUGCCAUCCUCCCAACGUCCUCAUCAGGAGAUGGCCUCGAGCACCGCUUGCACCGUGGCCGACCGUUCCCCUUGGCCGGUGCGGUCUCCCUGGCAGAGGAGAUUGCUCAUCGCCCUGCUUUGCUACGGGAUCCCGACGUCUGCUUUCGAUUGAGGCCCACGAAUUGGAAGGUUACUCGUACUGGGGCCAACGCCGUUUCUUAAUUUACAUUCCCUCACCCAUGGCGUCCUGCUGGCAGUCGGAACCACGCUCCUCGCCCGCCACUACUGAUGGCCGUUUUUGACGGGGGUGAGCGAGGAGGACAUUCGAGGCAGAGUUGCCAAAAGAUCAGAUGCUUUUGAGCAACAAUCGUUCCACGUCUGUGCACGUUUGCACAUCGGCCGCCAACGGGACAUCCAAGUCUGAGCCUCGCCACGAACCCAGGACCUGCGCGGCAACCCCUCGUCACGGCUAGCGUCGUCCUCUACGAGCUUCGCAUCGAGCGUCCUAAACGCUCACCAGGCAUUUGUAUUUGCUUUGUUCAUUUUUCUGGGUGGUCUAGCUGGCGAGGGUGGCGCAUGCCUUAGAGAAGUUAACUGUUUGUUCACUUGCACUAGCUAGCGCUUACUAGGAUGUAUGGCUACAUCACAAGAUAACGUAAAGUUAGGUUUGUUCCUUAGCUGUAAGCCCGAGGUUUCGUGGGCAUGGCGUGCGGCCACAUGGGUCUUCUCCGUGCCGGAAUCGUAGAGGACGGGCCGCGUGUGAUGGGGUAUAGCUUCAGGUUUAGCUACUGCGCAGGCUAUAGCUGUUAGCCGUCCUCUUACGACUGCGUCAGGGACAUGGACCCUUCCGUAUGGCCUUGCGACCCGACCCCACUAUUUCGUGACAAGGUAGCCCGCGCGCGUCAGUGCUAUCGAGCGAAAUGUGGGCUCACGGAAGCAAACGUCAUUCGGAAACUGCCUCGCCAGCUAUCAUGUACUAACCCGCUCUACGCAGCAACUCGACGCCGGACGUCGCCUGCUGUGUUCGUCGGAGCUGGGCCGGGAAGCGGCUACGAACGUCACUCGUAUCACGGCCCACCGUGUUCCGUCGUCGGUGCGGUCUUGUGGGCCUGGACUACUACGGGAUCCCGACGUCUGCUUUCGAUCGCGGCCCUCAAGAGUAGGAAGAUGAUCCAAUGUCUUCGCAUCUAUCGCAUUCCCUCGCCGCUGGAGUCUCGCUGGUGGAUUGGGCUUUCUUCCGCGCCAGGCGCUACCCCUGGUUCCUACCGUCUGCUUUCCAUUGGGGCUAUUCACAAGCACAUCCAGCGGGCCACUUCAGCACAUCUAGUCUUUCUCCUACAAUAGAGAUCAACUUCAUCUCUACUCGUCCCAUGGCCGGCUGUUUUACGUCAGCAUUUUUCUCGCCGGUGGCUUCCAGCUUGCAGACCGAGAUUCGUUCAUCUCGCUGCCCUACUUCUGACAAGUACCAUAUAGAUUCCAAUGGUACUACGGAUGUUUUCUCGUGUGGUAUCUAAAUCCUGCGUCAUUUAAGGUUCCAAACGUCUCUUUUGAAUGAAGCUUUGUUACGAGAUGGAGCUUUUCCAAUGGCAGCUGUUCCUUUUCUCUGUGCUGUUUUGCUUACUCAUGUUGCUACAUCUUCCCGGUGCCGCAAGCAUACAAACUUUGUGGGCUUCCGGAGAAAUUUGCUGUCGAAUGUGUACACUAUGCCGGUCAUCGACGUUUGGUUUAUGCUACGGAAAGCAUCCUUUGCCACACAGAUUUUGCAAUAGGCUCUUGACUAUCACUCUCCAUGUAAGACCACGUUGGACUUCAGUUCCUGGUGAUGUUAGGUGAUGUCAUUUCCUGACACAUAAGUUAUUUCGUCUACUCUCAGUGGCAUAUUUUUUACAGUGCUUUUGUAACUUCACAUGGUCUCCCCUUUUAUCGAAGGUUGCCGUCCUUUUCUUCAAUGUCUCCUCCCACGCUUCUGUUUCCGCCCGUUGGGUAUGCAAGAGCUAAUGGAAUAGGUUGUCUAGGUCCACCGUGAACUUGCUUUAACAGUUGGUUGUUCUUGACGCACUUCGUAUAUUAAGGUAUAUUUCUCCAUUAUGCAGUACACGUCGGCCGAUCGCUUUUCGCAGUUGACUCGAAAAGUACGGAUGAGCCUUCAUCGGAAGCCGCCAUCUUACUGUGCUUCUUCAGCAGGUAAUUCCACUUGGUGAUUGGUCACGAACUCUUCAGUUGUUUGGCGACGUAAUGUUGUGACAACAUUCAAUUAUUAGUUUUCCGGUGUCUUGCGUUGUCGCUGAACACACUUAUUUUCGAGCUGGGAAACACCUGAAAGAGUGUAGGAAAGAGUUCAAGCGUCUCCAACAGUUUCGCAGUGUACACCUGUUGUCACGGCGCAUGUGAAAGUUGUUACGCAAUAUGGCAAUGUCUCCUUUCAUUUGUAGUUGGUCCCUGAGCACCGUUGAAACGUAGGCCAACUAUUUCAAACAAUGUUGUCGUCUUUAGUCCAUCGUCCAGAGGAAGUACUUCCUCUUACAAGGAUCUGUAACGUUAUUUUCGCCACACAACGCACUGUCGUAUUGCUUUGCUUCACUUAUUUUCGUCCUCUAUUUCCCCGAAAUCUCGUCAUUAUACGAGUCGAUGUUCCACAUACUCCGUUGUGCGGUUUGUCCAUAUACGUGUCGGACUAAUAAUAAAGAUUUCUUCCUGGUAUAUGUGAUCUGUUGCUGCUCGCCUUGUCAUAUGGGCCCUGCCAAAGGUGCCCUUGAAGUCUUCUUGGAACAUCUGGCAUUCGCCUCUUGUCUGCACAUUCGCUUCUUUGCUGAAUUUCUGCAAUUCUAUUGCAAUAUACACACUUGGUUCUUGCCAAAUGAGGCAGGUUUCGGCGGUAUUUCUUUCUUCUACUUUUAGUGGACCUUUGAACUUGUCUGCUAAUAUUAUUCAUGGAACGAAUCAUUCACGCAGUUACCUUCCCAAUAUUCAAGUAAAUGCCGAACCUGUCAACUUCAAUGCCUCGUCUUGAGAUCCUUUUCAGCGUCUAACACGUGAUUCAUCUCCUUCUGUCCUUCCAUUAUUAUCCGGCGUUUCUUAACGUCUCUUCCUUGGUCCGCAUCAACUCGCAUCCCUAGCAUAAAAUUGUUCACUGCGAAAUCUUUUCUACGGUGCCUCCUGGUUAUAUCUGCUAGAUUUUUCACUACCGCUGACGUAUCCGCAUAGUUUUCCUACUGAGCAAUCCUUGAUUUUUUUUUUCAGUCUGUGUUCAACUUGUGCUUCAAGCAUUUUCUUUCUCCUAUGCAGAAUGACUGUACGAGUGCUCUAGUGUUUCACUGAUGCUCGCAAGUUCUACUUUUGCUAGAAUGACGACGGUAUCCAUCAGAACUGCUGUUUUUGUCAGGACCAGCACUGUCUCUACUCUCAUAAGAGAACCACGAAUGCUGCACUUCCAUGCGCCGUCGAGCUUGCAUCCGAUAAAGUGUGUUGCUAUUCCGUUUCAUAUUGUCGAUUUAUUCCGAUUUUCCUGGAUGCAUUCCUGCAUAGAUCAUUCAUCCUCGUCUGGUAGACGAUUGUCCCAAAAUGUUUCGGUUAUUCCUCGUUAUUGAAUGCCGAUAGCAGAAUACUGUCGGCCAUGUCCCAUUUCAUUCCUAGAAUUCUAGUCUCGCUUGAUCACGUAGGAACGGCGUCUACAUGCGCAUUAAAAUUCUCAUCACUGCUUCAGGUCCAUUUCCUAAGGUUCAUUGAAGCUCGGCGAUAUCUUUUGUUCUUGCUUCCUUGUUCAUGCACUUUCCCUGGUUUUCUUGCGAUGUUCCAAGCAUAACUUCAUCAGCGCAAACCUAAUUACAUUUACUGUCAUUGCAAGACUUGCUUCAAAAAUUCAUUAUUAUUAUUGGUCCACCUGCACUCAAAUUUCCUCCUGUCUGCACCUACAAGACGAUCACUACACUAUCGUUUUUUCAACUACCUUGCUUUUUCUUGCUGCUGUCUUUUCCGUCUUUCAUUUCCCCUUCCCCCAGGCCAGGGAAGCAAAUCAGAAUCUCAUGCGGUUCCUCUCUCCCACCCUGCCUGAGGGUUCUUCAAAACAUUCUUCACCCUGACCGCGGAGCGUCAAAUACUAAGCUUACUUUUAAUUGUCGGUCUUCGGGCAUUGCUUGAUGAGACGUAUAGUAUUUAACGUUCAGAUUCUUCCGAUCACGUCGAUCUGCCAUUCCAAGCGUGAAACUUCUCGCAUUGAACAGUUGUACUUUUAUGUCGGUACGGAAUUUGUCUCCAGCUUUCGGUAUAGUAUUCUAGUUGCUACUUGGUUGGUUUCCACGUUCACUUGCUCUCCAUCCUUCUGAAGUCCUUGUGCAGGAUGUGACUACAUGCUUCAAUUCAUGCAUCGUUUCUUUCUCAGGAAUUCGGCCAGUAUUGUCCAUUCUCAACUUCUUGUUGGCGUAAUUUCAACCAUAGCGGGAUUGAGUUUCGAACUUCUUAUUCUAGACCACAUUUGCCAGGGAAAACCCAUUCGGGAAUGCUUUCCACUUUCCAUUGCAUCUUCGUUUCGUCUGCGGUCCGCGCUCCAGAAGUUCGGGCACGAGCAUCCCCUGUUCCAGGAGCGACCGCUGUUCUACAUUCUCUCGCCAGUGGCAUCCUGCUGGUAGACUGGACUCAUCCCCUCGCCCUCCAAUACGUCUGGUUCUGCCCUCCCGUUUUCUAAUGCGGUCCACAAGGGUACCCGGCGCGCUCCUGCACGACUGUCCUCGCUGCAAAAUAUUCCUUCGGGCACGAGCAUCCCCAGUUCCAGGAGCGACCCCUACUCUACAUUCUCUCGCCAGUGGCAUCCUGCUGGUAGACUGGACUCGUCCCCUCGCCCUCCAAUACGUCUGGUUCUGCCCUCCCGUUUUCUAAUGCGGUCCACAAGGGUACCCAGCGCGCUCCUGCACGACUGUCCUCGCUGCAAAAUAUUCCUUCGGGCACGAGCAUCCCCUGUUCCAGGAGCGACCCCUACUCUACAUUCUCUCGCCAGUGGCAUCCUGCUGGUAGACUGGACUCAUCCCCUCGCCCUCCAAUACGUCUGGUUCUGCCCUCCCGUUUUCUAAUGCGGUCCACAAGGGUACCCAGCGCGCUCCUGCACGACUGUCCUCGCUGCAAAAUAUUCCUUCGGGCACGAGCAUCCCCUGUUCCAGGAGCGACCCCUACUCUACAUUCUCUCGCCAGUGGCAUCCUGCUGGUAGACUGGACUCAUCCCCUCGCCCUCCAAUACGUCUGGUUCUGCCCUCCCGUUUUCUAAUGCGGUCCACAAGGGUACCCGGCGCGCUCCUGCACGACUGUCCUCGCUGCAAAAUAUUCCUUCGGGCACGAGCAUCCCCAGUUCCAGGAGCGACCCCUACUCUACAUUCUCUCGCCAGUGGCAUCCUGCUGGUAGACUGGACUCGUCCCCUCGCCCUCCAAUACGUCUGGUUCUGCCCUCCCGUUUUCUAAUGCGGUCCACAAGGGUACCCGGCGCGCUCCUGCACGACUGUCCUCGCUGCAAAAUAUUCCUUCGGGCACGAGCAUCCCCAGUUCCAGGAGCGACCCCUACUCUACAUUCUCUCGCCAGUGGCAUCCUGCUGGUAGACUGGACUCGUCCCCUCGCCCUCCAAUACGUCUGGUUCUGCCCUCCCGUUUUCUAAUGCGGUCCACAAGGGUACCCGGCGCGCUCCUGCACGACUGUCCUCGCUGCAAAAUAUUCCUUCGGGCACGAGCAUCCCCAGUUCCAGGAGCGACCCCUACUCUACAUUCUCUCGCCAGUGGCAUCCUGCUGGUAGACUGGACUCAUCCCCUCGCCCUCCAAUACGUCUGGUUCUGCCCUCCCGUUUUCUAAUGCGGUCCACAAGGGUACCCGGCGCGCUCCUGCACGACUGUCCUCGCUGCAAAAUAUUCCUUCGGGCACGAGCAUCCCCAGUUCCAGGAGCGACCCCUACUCUACAUUCUCUCGCCAGUGGCAUCCUGCUGGUAGACUGGACUCGUCCCCUCGCCCUCCAAUACGUCUGGUUCUGCCCUCCCGUUUUCUAAUGCGGUCCACAAGGGUACCCGGCGCGCUCCUGCACGACUGUCCUCGCUGCAAAAUAUUACUUCGGGCACGAGCACCCCCUGUUCCAGGAGCGACCACUACUCUACAUUCUCUCGCCAGUGGCAUCCUGCUGGUAGACUGGACUCAUCCCCUCGCCCUCCAAUACGUCUGGUUCUGCCCUCCCGUUUUCUAAUGCGGUCCACAAGGGUACCCGGCGCGCUCCUGCACGACACUGCUGCCUGCGCUACAAAUGAUUACUUCAGGCAAGAGCAUCACCUGUUCCAGAAGCCACGGCUAUUCUACAUUCUCUCGACAUUGGCGUCCUGCUUGUGGACUGGACUUAGCCCGGAGCGCUUGCAGUUGAUUCUGGUUCCCAGUGCAUGCUGUCGCUUGUGGUGCAAGAGAAGUGUUCCAGCACGCUCAUCUACAAGACGCCUGGCCUUACCUCAAGAGUCGAAGCCCGGUCGUGCUGCACCAGGAUCCAUAGAGCACGCUUCCUCCUUGCUGUGAAAGCGUCUCACGCCUGCACUGUGUUGGCGGCGUGUUCAUGUUCUGAAGGACUGUCUCCUCACCGUCCCGCAACCGUCCAUCGGAUGUGCUCCUAGAGUUCUUCACUGUUGAUUUUGUUUGCGGAAGCAUAUUUAAUAAGUUUAAUUGAGCAACAAGCUUUUCUGCUCUGAAAUGUUCGUGCGUUGCUCGCCGAAUGGAUGCCCUGCUCACCGACGGAGCACAGUAAAUAAGCCUUUUUACUUGGACACCACUCGGUCUUUAAGAAGGGUUGUGAGUGUCUUCAUGAGCUGAUCUGUAAAUUUUUGCUGGCGAGAGUAACGGACAUUCAUUCCCAUUGUGCACUUUCGUAGUCGUACAUUGAUCCUGGUUUUGUGUGUGUGUGUGUGUGUGUGUGUGUGUGUGUGUGUGUGUGUGUGUGUGUGUGUGUGUGUGUGUGUGUGUGUGUGUGUGUGUGUGUGUGUGUGUGUGUGUGUGUGUGUGUGUGUGUGUGUGUGUGUGUGUGUGUGUGUCACGAGCUUGCAUUUUGGUUCGUCCAUUUCAGAUGUGUCACCUACUCUGUGCAUCUUUUGUUCGGUAGAGAAGGUGUGACGUAAGCUUCACUGCUACACGGCGAACAUCGAAUUUUUUAUAUUUCGGUAGCAUUUCCAGCGUCAGUUGAUGCUCCAGGUUUUUCUGGGUCAUUCCUGUUGAAAGGUUCCUGGUUUGAUGGUUUACUAUCCUCCAUGGUCAUCUACUUUUGAAUUGGUUGAACCGCUCGUUUCAUUGGCUUUGGUCCUUUGGUAGAUCUCAGUGCUCGUUUCGGCAUUCAGGUGAUUUGUUCUGGCGUCUUUAUCGUAUCGGAAAGGUCUCCAUACAUCCUCGGUUCUUCCACGUCCCUCACCACCCACUCGGAGGGAUCAGCGUGCCACUACAAAAGCACACAAUGUCAAUGAAUGGGAAAGGGGAGGGUGGUUACUCUCGCCAACAAAAAUUUGCUGAUUUGCUCACGAUGAUAAUGACAUCCAGCUUUAAGACUGGUUUGUCGUAGAUCUUAUUGUGCUCACCGUUUUAGCUUUUUUUUUUUUGAUGUGCGGGAAUCAUUACAUGAUCAUUACAUGUAUUAUUGCCUGUCCGUUCAUCAGACUGCUUCUCGUUGUCGUCGUUUGUUCACCGCCUAUACUGCAUCAGAACGGCGCCGUAGUUGAUUUAUGUAUGCCUUUUUAUUGCUUACUGCGCCAGGUCAGUAGGAACAGCGCACCCUUGACGCGGCUGUGACGUCGUUGCCUGCUGACUGUAGUUGCGAUUACGGAGUGUGGUAAUUUCGUGAUUGUUGUGUAUCGAGUGAGCCAUCGUCUGACGGCAGCUUCAAAGGGACUACAUUUACUCCCCUUUGCUAAGUCGUGUCUAAAUGUGUCUAGACAAGUGACGAGCACGCGCAGGAAAAUCGAAUGUCCGCUUUAGUAUUGUAUUUUGUGUUGAAGCCAGUUACGUUUACGAGUUCCUCUCGUACUUCUUGCUGUACGCUGUGUUAAUGUCUUUGCGUAGCACUUCGAAUGUAUUUGAAUGAGUUUGCUUUGAAUAGUUUUUUUUUAAUUCGCAGAUGCUAUUGUUAGCCUAUAUAAUCGCCAUAUGAGAACACACAUUUUAUUACCAAUUACUUCGAAUGUUCUCAACCAGUAAUUAUCUUGUCUCCACGUUGCUUGAUAACUGGAAAAGCGAGCACUGUCUUAAAUAGAUGAUUUCCUGUACCUCAUUACUCUGCCAUUACUUUUUUUUUUGCUGCUUCAAUCCACUGUGACGCAAAGUCAAGCAACCACACAUGUACGAUGCUGCUCAGUCGAACUUGUUUUUCCGGGGCCUUUCUCCAGGAAGUAACAUUUUAUUUCACUCUUCAGUACAGACGACACCCUUGCAUUUAUAUCGCACAAUGCUCGCGAUAGGUUUGUGAUACCACCAGUGCAGGCAUUUGGACUUAUUGUUGCGCCAUCUUGAAGGCCUUUUUUUGUGUAACUAGUUACAUGGACGAAGAGAAAGAACGAUGCCCACACAGCACUCAAUAGUUCGCAAUAGGACGGCUAUCCACGAAAUUACUGCAUAUUGUGGGGUCAGUGAUUAUGAGGUGACGUGGUACGUAGGGUCAUCAUGUAGGAAUAGGUUUAUGUCCAGUUGGGUCCUAAAGGCACAGAAGAGGCACGUUCGAAUAGUGACGUUCUCGUUUGGUGAAAACAAAAAUCGGGGUGAAGUUUUAUUCCGCUCCCAGCGAAGGUGCUGUGCAACGCUUACUCAUUUCAGGUAGUUCAAAUAACUUCACGCUGUGAAGCCCUUAUGCAUGCAAAUAAAGCCGUAAAGCUAUUGGUGCGACCUAUGUUAUGCUGUUAUUGUCGCUUUUAUUUCUGGUGUUCUACGAAAACGGAGCACUAUUCGCACAUGGAAUAACCUACCUGUCAAUGUUGUUGAGUAUUCGACGGUGUCUCCUUGAGUGCAUUCCGCAAUAGCUAACGAUGCUUCACCUUGUCGUGGCAUAUUGUUUCUACGUCCCUUUGUAUGUCUUACGUGGGUCCUUCUAAUGCCGUACUUGCUCGACCAAAUGUAGAUUGUAUUCCUAUAUACUGCAUUGUUAUGUACCCCACUCCUGCCUAAAGCCUGACAUCCAGGCUGACAAUAUGCAAUAAUGUCCGUUUUGCAUUUUUAUACGCGGAAGUACCUUGAAGCUGAGAAAUUCUUUGUGCUAUGUAAAUCCCCUUAUAUAUUCUAUAUGUAUACAUGUACACGUGUGACUUCAUGUGUUCAUUCUGUAUAAAUAAAUGCACUGUAUGCUGCUUUCUGUAUCAUCGGGGAUGAAGCCCAAGUCAGGCAGCAUGAGUCGCUUUUAAUUUCGUUUAUGGUCGUGUUUUUGCGCUUAUUGUACUGAGAAUUCAUCACUUUAGACUACGCCUUACAGAUCUGUCAAAAUAAAACUUCUUAUUCCUGC